CCCUUAGAUGUCCUGGGCUGCACGCGCGCUACACUGAUGUGUCCAGUAAGCACCUAACCUCUUCCGAAAGGAACGGGUAACCUUUGCAAAGCACAUCGUGAUGGUGAUAGAUUAUUGCAAUUAUUAGUCUUGAACGAGGAAUUCCUAGUAAGCACAAGUCAUCAGCUUGUGUUGAUUACGUCCCUGCCCUUUGUACACACCGCCCGUCGCUCCUACCGAUUGAAUGUUCCGGUGAGCUCUUCGGACUGCGCGGUCUGCAGUUUCUGCGUUCCGUGCGGAAAGUUGCGCAAACCUUAACAUUUAGAGGAAGGAGAAGUCGUAACA
rnacentral:rRNA from 1 species